AGCAGUUUUGAGUAGUGUGAUGCUGAACUUUACAUGAAUGGCUUUCUGUAGUGAGAUGGCGCCUGUCACCCACGGCCUGCAGAGGCUGCGUGGCUUGGGGGGAAUCUAGAGGCCCAACCAUGGGCCUCCUUCCCCUGGUCCCUACAGCAGCUUUUCCCAAACCCACUGAGAUGAGUCAGGCUCCUAGAGAGCCUGAGAACAAAGCCCCUUUGUGACUUUUGUUUUGAAUCAGGCUUGUGACAAAGGGGAGGAGCCACUGGGCUGGGUGGAUGGGGGUGCCCGGAGUGCGUUGUUGUUGCAGGGGAAGAAAACAAAAUUGUGUCUUUUUUUUGGCGAUGUUGUCUUGCCAAUCCCUCCCUCCCCCAGCUCGCCGAACAGCAGGAUUUCCCAACGGCAGCUUGGGAAAAAGACCCAGUGGCAGCUUGGGGAAAAGACCCAGCGCUCCGUUUAGAAGCAACGUGUAUCAGCCAACUGAGAUGGCCGUCGUGCUCAACGGUGGGACCAUCCCAACUGCUCCGCCAAGUCAUACAGGAAGACACCUUUGGUGAAAGACUUUAAGUUCCAGAGAAUCAGAAUUUCUCUUACCGAUUUCCCUCCCUGGCUGCGUCUUUCUUGAGGGAGAAAUCGGUAACAGUAGCCGAACCAGGCCGCCUCACAGCCAGGAAAUCUGGAAAUCCUAGCCAAGGGGAUUUCGUGUAAAUGUGAACACUGACGAACUGAAAAGCUAACACCGACUGCCCGCCCCUCCCCUGCCACACACACAGACACGUAAUACCAGACCAACCUCAAUCCCCGCAAACUAAAGCAAAGCUAAUUGCAAAUAGUAUUAGGCUCACUCGAAAAUGUGGCUGGGAAGACUGUUUCAUCCUCUGGGGGUAGAACAGAACCAAAUUCACAGCUGGUGGGCCAGACUGGUGUUGGUUGGAGGUGGGGGGCUCCCACACUUAUCACCCCUCCCCAGCAAGUGCUGGACCCCAGGUGGCCUCUUGGAGAUGACCGUUGCAUUGAGGACAAAUGGGGACUUUGCCACCGGCUUGCCUGGUGGUUUGCACAUUUCAGGGGGUCAGGAGAGUUAAGGAGGUUGUGGGUGGGAUUCCAAGGCAAGGCCCAACUGAAUCGUGGGGUGAGCUUUAUAGCCAGUAGAGGUGGAGGGACCCUGGCAUGUGCCAAAGAAGAGGCCCUCUGGGUGAUGAAGUGACCAUCACAUUUGGAAAGUGAUCAACCACUGUUCCUUCUAUGGGGCUCUCGCUCUAGCGUCUAUGGUGAGAACACAGGCCCCGCCCCCUUCCCUUGUAGAGCCAUAGAAAUAUUCUGGCUUGGGGCAGCAGUCCUUUCUUCCCUUGAUCAUCUCGCCCUGUUCCUACACUUACGGGUGUAUCUCCAAACCCUCUCCCAAUUUUAUUCCCUUAUUCAUUUCAAGAGCUCCAAUGGGGUCACCAGCUGAAAGCCCCUCCGGGAGGCAGGUUGGAAGGCAGGCACCAUGGCAAGUUUUCCGCGAUGAUGUCACCUAGCAGGGCUUCAGGGGUUCCCACUAGGAUGCAGAGAUGACCUCUGGCUGCCUCACAAGCAGUGACACCUCGGGUCCUUUCCGUUGCUAUGGUGAAAGUUCCUGGAUGGAAUGGAUCACAUGAGGGUUUCUUGUUGCUUUUGGAGGGUGUGGGGGAUAUUUUGUCUUGGUUUUUCUGCAGGUUCCAUGAAAACGGCCCUUUUCCAAGCCCAUUGUUUCUGUCAUGGUUUCCAUCUGUCCUGAGCAAGUCAUUCCUUUGUUAUUUAGCAUUUCGAACAUCUCGGCCAUUCAAAGCCCCCAUGUUCUCUGCACUGUUUGGCCAGCAUAACCUCUAGCAUCGAUUCAAAGCAAAGAGUUUUAACCUGACGGCAUGGAAUGUAUAAAUGAGGGUGGGUCCUUCUGCAGAUACUCUAAUCACUACAUUGCUUUUUCUAUAAAACUACCCAUAAGCCUUUAACCUUUAAAGAAAAAUGAAAAAGGUUAGUGUUUGGGGGCCGGGGGAGGACUGACCUCUUCAUAAGCCAGUACGUCUGAGCUGAGUAUGUUUUAAUAAACCUUUUGAUAUUUCUCGA
rnacentral:sRNA from 1 species